rnacentral:pre_miRNA from 1 species
UUUCAUUGGUCAAUUGCUAAUAUUUCUUGCGUUAAUUUACAAAUAUCAGCAGUUGUACCAUUGAAAU